rnacentral:rRNA from 1 species
UACGUAGGUGGCAAGCGUUGUCCGGAUUUAUUGGGUUUAAAGGGUGCGUAGGCGGUUUAAUAAGUCAGUGGUGAAAUACGGCAGCUCAACUGUCGAGGUGCCAUUGAUACUGUUGGACUUGAGUACAGACGAGGUAGGCGGAAUUGACGGUGUAGCGGUGAAAUGCUUAGAUAUCGUCAGGAACACCGAUAGCGAAGGCAGCUUACUAGGCUGUAACUGACGCUGAGGCACGAAAGUGUGGGGAUCAAACAGG